AGUGAACGCUGGCGGUAGGCCUAACACAUGCAAGUCGAACGGAAGCACAGUAAGAGCUUGCUCUUACGGGUGGCGAGUGGCGGACGGGUGAGGAGUACAUCGGAAUCUACUUUUUCGUGGGGGAUAACGUAGGGAAACUUACGCUAAUACCGAAUACGACCUACGGGUGAAAGCAGGAGAGAUUGGGAGCUUGCGCGAUUGAAUGAGCCGAUGUCGGAUUAGCUAGUUGGCGGGGUAAAGGCCCACCAAGGCGACGAUCCGUAGCUGAUCUGAGAGGAUGAUCAGCCACACUGGAACUGAGACACGGUCCAGACUCCUACGGGAGGCAGCAGUGGGGAAUAUUGGACAAUGGGCGCAAGCCUGAUCCAGCCAUACCGCGUGAGUGAUGAAGGCCUUCGGGUCGUAAAGCCCUUUUGUUGGGAAAGAAAAGCAGCAGGUUAAUACCCCGCUGUUCUGACGGUACCCAAAGAAUAAGCACCGGCUAACUUCGUG
rnacentral:rRNA from 1 species